UGCCUAAAAAUGUUUGUUUAUAUUCAAUGUGGAUGUCUCAAUAUAGAAAAAAUUGGACCCAACAAAUAUUGACAAUUGUUUGAGAGACCAUGAUGAUUUAAUUAGAAAUUUUUCCUCGAAGAAUCUUGAUUCUAAUAUUAUCAAGUUUUUUACUAUCAAGAAAGCCAUUAUGGUUAUCUUACAUUGAACAAGAAAAAUGAUGAGCCCCAAAGAUCUCGACGCAUUCUAGUAAAGAACCCAC
rnacentral:lncRNA from 1 species